UACCAGCACCCCGAGUGGUCGGGACGAUUAUUGGGCCUAAAGCAUCCGUAGCCGGUUCUACAAGUCUUCCGUUAAAUCCACCUGCUUAACAGAUGGGCUGCGGAGGAUACUAUAGAGCUAGGAGGCGGGAGAGGCAAGCGGUACUUAGUGGGUAGGGGUAAAAUCCGUUGAUCCAUUGAAGACCACCAGUGGCGAAGGCGGCUUGCCAGAACGGCACUC
rnacentral:rRNA from 1 species